rnacentral:misc_RNA from 3 species
AACGCACAUUGCGCUCCUUGGUAUUCCGAGGAGCAUGCCUGUUUGAGCGUCAGUAAACUCCCUCAACCUAAGGGUUGGUGAUGGACCACGCGAGCGUAGGCUUGCCGGUCUGAAUUGCAUCGGCCCGGCCAUUUCCUUCAGGCUAUCAGCGUAAUAGGUCCAACCGUCUCGCUGGCUAUCGCCUCUGGAUGAGGGCCGCGCCUUAAGCUCUUUUUUUUGAACUUGACCUCAAAUCAGGUAGGGAUACCCGCUGAACUUAA